rnacentral:piRNA from 1 species
UCGAGAAUCUCUGAAACGGAAUAAC